rnacentral:rRNA from 1 species
UAAGCGGAGGAAAAGAAACUAACAGGAUUCCCCUAGUACUGCGAGUGNAGCGGGAAAAGCUCAAAUUUGGAAUCUGGUGGUCUUUGGCCAUCCGAGUUGUAAUUUAGAGAAGCGUCUUCCGCGCUGGACCGUGCACAAGUCUCCUGGAAUGGAGCGUCAUAGAGGGUGAGAAUCCCGUCUUUGGCAUGGAAUCCCAGGGCUUCUGUGAUGCGCUCUCGACGAGUCGAGUUGUUUGGGAAUGCAGCUCAAAAUGGGUGGUGAACUCCAUCUAAAGCUAAAUAUUGGCGAGAGACCGAUAGCGAACAAGUACCGUGAGGGAAAGAUGAAAAGCACUUUGGAAAGAGAGUGAAACAGUACGUGAAAUUGUUGAAAGGGAAACGCUUGAAGUCAGUCGCGUCGACCGAGACUCAGCCUUGCCUCGGCUUGGUGUACUUCUCGGCUUGACGGGCCAGCAUCGAUUUCAAUCCUCGGAUAAUGGCAAGGGAAAGGUAGCACCUUUUUAGGUGUGUUAUAGUCCUCUGUCGCAUGCGAGGGUCGGGAUCGAGGAACUCAGCACGCACCUCAGGGUGUCGGGGCCUUGGCCCACGUUUACGUGCUUAGGAUGCUGGCGUAAUGGCUUUAAACGACC